AACGUAGGACGCAAGCGUUAUCCGGAGUUACUGGGCGUAAAGCGCGGGCAGGCGGCUUCUUAAGUCUGAUGUGAAAGCGCCCGGCUUAACCGGGCGAGGCCAUUGGAAACUAGGGAGCUGGAGGGCAGUAGAGGCAGGCGGAAUUCCGGGUGGAGUGGUGAAAUGCGUAGAUAUCGCUUGGAACGCCAACGGUGAAAACAGGUUGCUGGGGGUGUGCUGACGCUGAGACACGAAAGCCAGGGGAGCGAACGGG
rnacentral:rRNA from 1 species